rnacentral:rRNA from 1 species
GACGAACGCUGGCGGCGUGCUUAACACAUGCAAGUCGAACGGAAAGGCCCUGCUUUUGUGGGGUGCUCGAGUGGCGAACGGGUGAGUAACACGUGAGUAACCUGCCCUUGACUUUGUGAUAACUUCAUGAAACUGGGGCUAAUACCGGAUAUGAGCUCCUGCUGCAUGUUGGGGGUUGGAAAGUUUCGGCGGUUUGGGAUGGACUCGCGGCUUACCAGCUUGUUGGUGGGGUAGUGGCUUACCAAGGCUUUGACGGGUAGCCGGCAUGAGAGGGUGAACGGCCACCUUGGGCCUGAGAUACGGACCAGACUGCUACGGGAGGCAGCAGUGGGGAAUAUUGCACAAUGGGCGGAAGCCUGAUGCAGCAACGCCGCGUGCGGGAUGACGGCCUUCGGGUUGUAAACCGCUUUGGCCUGUGACGAAGCGUGAGUGACGGUAAUGGGUAAAGAAGCACCGGCUAACUACGUG